AGGGCUUACGGUGGAUACCUAGGCACAAGAAGGCGAAGAAGGACGUGGUUACCUACGAUAAGCUGCGAGGAGCUGGAAGCAAGCAAUGAUCCGCAGGUGUCCGAAUGGGGCAACCCUAAAUACUGCCCGUUGAAUAAAAUAGACGGGAAAGAGCGAACUCAGCGAAUUGAAACAUCUUAGUAGCUGAAGGAAGAGAAAAUAAACAAUGAUUUCCUCAGUAGCGGCGAGCGAACGGGAAAGAGCCCAAACCAAUCGGCAAGACUGAUUGGGGUUAUAGGACAGCGAUACUGUACAACAGAGAUUAGAAGAAGUGUUUGGAAUGACACGCCAUAGAGAGUGAAAGCCUCGUAAAUAAAAAUUAAAGUUGGCAAGCUGGAUCCUGAGUAGCACGGUACACGAGAAAUUCCGUGUGAAUUCGCCGGGACCACCCGGUAAGGCUAAAUACUCACUUGUGACCGAUAGUGAACCAGUACCGCGAGGGAAAGGUGAAAAGAACCCCGAAAGGGGAGUGAAAUAGAACAUGAAACCGUAAGCUUACAAGCAAUUGGAGCACGAUUAAACGUGUGACAGUGUGCCUGUUGAAGAAUGAGCCGGCGACUUAUAUGCAGUGGCAGGUUAAGGGGAAAAUCCCGAAGCCAAAGCGAAAGCGAGUCUGAAGAGGGCGAUAGUCACUGUAUAUAGACCCGAACCCGGGUGAUCUAACCAUGGGCAGGAUGAAGCUUGGGUAACACCAAGUGGAGGUCCGAACCGACUGAUGUUGAAAAAUCAGCGGAUGACCUGUGGUUAGGGGUGAAAUGCCAAUCGAACCCGGAGCUAGCUGGUUCUCCCCGAAAUAUGUUGAGGCAUAGCGGUAUUGAUUAUAGUCUGGGGGUAAAGCACUGAAUCGGUGCGGGCUGGGAGACCGGUACCAAAUCGAAUCAAACUCUGAAUACCAGAUGUACACAAUACCAGUCAGACUGUGGGGGAUAAGCUCCAUGGUCAAGAGGGAAACAGCCCAGAUCACCAGUUAAGGUCCCAAAGACAUCGCUAAGUGACAAAGGAGGUGGGGAUACAGAGACAACCAGGAGGUUUGCUUAGAAGCAGCCACCCUUGAAAGAGUGCGUAAUAGCUCACUGGUCAAGUGUCCCUGCGCCGAAAAUGAACGGGGCUAAGCGAUGCACCGAAGCUGUGGGAUUAAUAUAUUAAUCGGUAGGGGAGCGUUCUGUUGUAGGUAGAAGCAUUAGCGUAAGCAGAUGUGGACGAAGCAGAAGUGAGAAUGUCGGCUUGAGUAGCGCAAAUAUAUGUGAGAAUCAUAUACCCCAAAAACCCAAGGUUUUCUACGCAAGGCUCGUCCACGUAGAGUUAGUCGGGACCUAAGGCGAGGUCGAAAGGCGUAGUCGAUGGACACAGGGUCAACAUUCCCUGACUAUUAUGUUGGAGUAUAUACAUGACGCAUGAGAGAUAGCCAUACCCUGAUUGGAUUGGGAGGACUCUACGGAGUUCGUUUGGACAAUGGUAGUGCCAAGAAAAGCUGUAUAUAUGAUGAAGACAUAGUACCCGUACCCUAAACCGACACAGGUGGGUAGGUUGAGUAUACUAAGGGGCGCGAGAUAACUCUCUCUAAGGAACUCGGCAAAAUGGCCCCGUAACUUCGGGAGAAGGGGUGCCAUCUAACGAUGGCCGCAGUGAAAUGAUCCAAGCGACUGUUUACCAAAAACACAGGUCUCUGCAAAGUCGAAAGACGACGUAUAGGGGCUGACGCCUGCCCAGUGCCGGAAGGUUAAGGAAGUUGGUCAGCGAAAGUGAAGCUAACGACCGAAGCCCCGGUGAACGGCGGCCGUAACUAUAACGGUCCUAAGGUAGCGAAAUUCCUUGUCGGGUAAGUUCCGACCCGCACGAAAGGCGUAACGAUUUGGAUGCUGUCUCGGAGAGAGACUCGGCGAAAUAGGAUUGUCUGUGAAGAUACGGACUACUUGCACCCGGACAGAAAGACCCUAUGAAGCUUUACUAUAACUUGGAAUUGGGUUCGGGCUUCUCUUGCGCAGUAUAGGUGGGAGACUAUGAGAUACCCCUUGUGGGGGGUAAGGAGUCAUCGGUGAGAUACCACUCUGGAGAGGCUAGAAUUCUAACCUUGACCCGGCUAUCGUGACUGGGAAACAGAUCGG
rnacentral:rRNA from 1 species